CCUACGGGCGGCUGCAGUGGGGAAUAUUGGACAAUGGGCGAAAGCCUGAUCCAGCCAUGCCGCGUGUGUGAAGAAGGCCUUCGGGUUGUAAAGCACUUUCAGUGGGGAAGAAAGCCUUGGGGCUAAUACCCUCGAGGAAGGACAUCACCCACAGAAGAAGCACCGGCUAACUCCGUGCCAGCAGCCGCGGUAAUACGGAGGGUGCGAGCGUUAAUCGGAAUUACUGGGCGUAAAGCGCGCGUAGGCGGUCUGAUAAGCCGGUUGUGAAAGCCCCGGGCUCAACCUGGGAACGGCAUCCGGAACUGUCAGGCUAGAGUGCAGGAGAGGAAGGUAGAAUUCCCGGUGUAGCGGUGAAAUGCGUAGAGAGCGGGAGGAAUACCAGUGGCGAAGGCGGCCUUCUGGACUGACACUGACGCUGAGGUGCGAAAGCGUGGGUAGCAAACAGGAUUAGAUACCCGUGUAGUC
rnacentral:rRNA from 1 species